CUUAAAAAAAAAAAAAAAAAAUUAAUGCCUAUUGCCUUAGGCAACUCGAGGGCACACUUAAUGCCUUGGCCAUUUUUCAUGUCUGAGAGAGAAACCCCGAGCUUUUCUUCACUUCGAGCAAAAUCUGGAGCUUUUCUUCAUCAUCUUCUCAAAACACUUAGCCAUCACAAAUCACCAUCUUUCAAAGUUUGGAUUUAGAUUCUAUUCGAUUUAGGUUCUACUCGAUUAGGGUUCGAGUUGGGUUCAAUUUGGGGCUUUUUCAUUCUGCUGAAAUGAGAGAUUUGGGUUCUGACCAAUCGAGUUGGGUUCUACUCGAUUAGGGUAUUUCUUCUGCCCCAGAAAGAAGAUAAAUCUCAUUCUUUGCAAGCUCCAGAUGGGGUAUUUCUUCUCUUCUUCUCUUAUUCUCUUCUCUCCCAGAAGCCUCAACUCCUCUUCAAGGCUUCAACAUCGUGCCUUGGCUCCGACACCUUCUUCCACCAAAUCCAAUCACAGACUAGGCCGCCAAAGAAAAAAAACUCUCUCUCUCUCGAUAGAAAAUCCCAGCAACUCUUCAAAUUCGAUCAUCUCUUCCCCAGGGCUUGCUGGAUGAAUCAGAGUUUCAGAAAUCGAUUUGGGGCUAUUUCUAAUCUCUGCAAUUUCGUGUCUCCAUUUUGGUGACAGGAGGUGUAGUGAAUGGGUUGGGCAACAGCGUCACAGCUAGCACCAUAGGCGUCAUUCUCAAUUGUGUGUCGACCUUCCCGUCACCUGCAUCAAAAUCGGUUCUCCCUAUAUAUCCCUUUUCUUCUUUCUAUUUCAAUCUUUGAUGACUCAAAAGUGAAAAAGAUGUAUUUCUCUCCCACGAAAUUUUAUUAAAUUUGGUUCAAAAAAAUGAAAUCAAAGAUUAGAUUACAUGAACUUGGAUCUGGGUUUUCCGUAAUGGUUCUAAGAUUAAUGCUUUUAGUUAAUUACUUGUUUUACUUGACAACAAUCUGCAGAUCUGUAUGAUGGUAAUACAUCUAUCCUUAGAUAUGGUAUGGUUUUUGUUCUUGAAGAUGGUGUAGCGGUACUAAUUCACUCACUUUCGCCUUUUCCUUUCAUUAUAUAUAGUUGCCCAUAUUAAUAAUUGACCAUUGCUUCUGAAUAUGACUCACACUGUGUUAUAGCAAUACUAUUAUGAAGCUUUUGAGCUGAAACUUUAUUCCUAACAAGUUCAUUUAGACUUGGAUAACAAAGUAGCUACCUUGUCAGAACAGAGGUAAUAUUCAACUAAAAAUCUGCAGUUUUACUUUUCUCCUAUGGCAGUGGCUGACCAAUUCGCAACUUUCCAUCAUACAUACACAAGUCAUUGUUCAUGUAUUGUUGGUGAACAUAUGCUUCAAAUUCUAUAGUAGAAAUACUUUAUACUGCAUCCCAAACUUUUUUGCUGAGAGCCUUGGUAUUUGUAUAAUAUAUAGAUCAAAUAUAUAAUUGAAGGCCAGGAAACAAUGGUGGAAUAUUUUCACAUUUUUUCAUAUAAAAAAAUAUCUCAUACUUGCUUUAACACUGAUGGGCAUUAAAAUUGAGCAAAACUAAUGCUAGCUUAUGAGAUCAUUUUUGUCUUUCUUUUAGUUGGCAUCUACGGAAUUGCAUUCAACAAACAAGAACAACGGAAUAGCAUAACCUUUCACAGGUAUUGAUCCCAAAAUGGGUCGAGACCUAGUAGCCCCUCAGGUUAUCAAGCAGUCAGGUCAAAGUUUUUAAACUAGUUCUUUUAUUCAAUAUACUAUGGAGUUCACAGUUUCGUUUGAAGCUUUUCAAUUAUAGUGCUUUAUGACCAGGAAGGAAAUGGUAUUCUUGAAACUUUGUUGAAUGAGUUUAAGUACCUAAGCAGAUAUUGGAAUGUGUGUUCACACAAUUGUGAUACCUUUUAAGUUGGAUAUAAUUCUUUGAUUUUUGUUAUGUUUUAUUUGUUGUAAUUAAAAAGUAGAAAGUGGAGAAAAUAAGAGAUGCAGUAGAGAAAUAAGCCUUUGGUAAUUAUUAGCUUAUAUUGUCAUGUAUUUAUAUAUGUAUGUGUAUGUAUAUUUGUAGGGAAGGCAUAGAGAAAAUGAAAUUGGAAUCAGUUCUGAAAUUUCAAAGAAUUUAGCUUGUUGUAUGCCUCCAAGAUCUUAUAGUGACGAUGAGUUCAAGGUUAUUUAACAGACUUUGAGCAAGCUCAAGGUUUGAAAUGGUGGGGGAGUUGAGCAAUUACUCAAGUACUGUAUGGUGUUUCGUCAAUGUACAAGAUAUACUUACUGCAUUGCUGGUUCACUCCCAGAUAAGUGGCGAAGUGACUCAACCCUGGAUCUAUUAUAGCUGGGCAGUUUGAGUGGGUUCACAAGGUUAAACUGCAUACCAGAGAUCAAUGGAAACUUUGAUUGAUUGGAUUGAUAGUGAAGUCAGCAUGAGCAAUACUUAUGUACUUUUUCGAACUUAUGCUCCUGUGCAUUUCAGGAUUUUGAAUGGUGAAGAUGUAGAUAUAGAGGAAACAGUUCUUCGCACUCCAAUAUCCAAAUCCUAGAAGAACCAUUCACAUUUGUUCUACUCAACACCACAAAUAAAUAGGAACAUUCCUUCUGGUGCUGCAAUAUGUGCUAACUUGUGAAGCUUCACAACAAGCUUGGAGGUGAUGCAAAUAAGAAUAUAGUGCACAAGAUGCUUGGUAAAGUGACACAUGAAGGUUUUGUUAAAGUGAAAAGAUAUUAUAUCAGUUUUUGAUUCAUGUGUAGCUAGUUAGGAUUGCUUUUCUUCUUUUAUUGUUGGCUUGAAAUUUGGACAUGCAAUUUUGUUUGGGAAAUACUGCCUUUUGCAGUUUUAUGUACAGAAUGUUAGAUAUUAUGAUGGAUUGCUUGAUAGAUAUAUUCACUGUUCA